rnacentral:lncRNA from 1 species
CUCCCGCUCCGGGCCAGAGCCGCGCCCUGCCGCCGCGCGCUGCCCUUACCUGCCCGCGGCUCGGCUCGGCUCCGGCUCCGGCUCCGCUCCUGGCGCAGCGGGUCCCUCCCGGGCAGCGCCCAGCAAGGCUGGAGCGGGCAGCGCAGACACUGAGGCGAGCCCCGAACGCAGCGUCUCCGACUCUUGGCGCAACACGCCCCGGCUCGGCUGCCAGGCUCGGGGGUUUGAAUUCCACCAGCCUCUCCUGAUUGGCUCGCGGGGACCAGCCAAGGGAAAAUCCAGGCACCUGGGAGGAAGGCCCUGGAAAGAGCGACGAGCAGGAACUGUAGCUGUAUAUCCCUGGGGUGCAGCAAACAAGUUGCCAGGACAACCCUGCAUGGAGGCCAGGAAUGCCAGCUAAUUAGCGCUGCCUGGCGAUGGAAGGAGGCAUGACGCGCAGAGUUCAGAGUGGGGAGAGAACCCUGACAGGUGCGGAUGCCCCACUUCUGGGCAGACCUUCAUAAGGAGGCAGUGAGGACAAGGAUGCAGCAGACAAACGGAGCGAGCAGGGGCCUGCCAGCACUGCACCUGGCCAGCGGACUGACCGCCCCUCUCUAUGACCAGCCCCUGGCUUUGGCUCCCUUGCCCGGCUGCUGGAUCCUCUCAGCACUCUUCUCACAGGACUGAGGCCCCCCCUCCUUGGGCGGGGCACUGAACAAAUGGUGCCGAAUUUC